rnacentral:rRNA from 1 species
GGUUAAGCGACUAAGCGUACACGGUGGAUGCCCUGGCAGUCAGAGGCGAUGAAGGACGUGCUAAUCUGCGAUAAGCGUCGGUGAGGUGAUAUGAACCGUUAUAACCGGCGAUUUCCGAAUGGGGAAACCCAGUGUGUUUCGACACACUAUCAUUAACUGAAUCCAUAGGUUAAUGAGGCGAACCGGGGGAACUGAAACAUCUAAGUACCCCGAGGAAAAGAAAUCAACCGAGAUUCCCCCAGUAGCGGCGAGCGAACGGGGAGCAGCCCAGAGCCUGAAUCAGUGUGUGUGUUAGUGGAAGCGUCUGGAAAGGCGUGCGAUACAGGGUGACAGCCCCGUACACAAAAAUGCACAUACUGUGAGCUCGAUGAGUAGGGCGGGACACGUGGUAUCCUGUCUGAAUAUGGGGGGACCAUCCUCCAAGGCUAAAUACUCCUGACUGACCGAUAGUGAACCAGUACCGUGAGGGAAAGGCGAAAAGAACCCCGGCGAGGGGAGUGAAAAAGAACCUGAAACCGUGUACGUACAAGCAGUGGGAGCCUCUUAAUGGGGUGACUGCGUACCUUUUGUAUAAUGGGUCAGCGACUUAUAUUCUGUAGCAAGGUUAACCGAAUAGGGGAGCCGAAGGGAAACCGAGUCUUAACUGGGCGUUAAGUUGCAGGGUAUAGACCCGAAACCCGGUGAUCUAGCCAUGGGCAGGUUGAAGGUUGGGUAACACUAACUGGAGGACCGAACCGACUAAUGUUGAAAAAUUAGCGGAUGACUUGUGGCUGGGGGUGAAAGGCCAAUCAAACCGGGAGAUAGCUGGUUCUCCCCGAAAGCUAUUUAGGUAGCGCCUCGUGAAUUCAUCUCCGGGGGUAGAGCACUGUUUCGGCAAGGGGGUCAUCCCGACUUACCAACCCGAUGCAAACUGCGAAUACCGGAGAAUGUUAUCACGGGAGACACACGGCGGGUGCUAACGUCCGUCGUGAAGAGGGAAACAACCCAGACCGCCAGCUAAGGUCCCAAAGUCAUGGUUAAGUGGGAAACGAUGUGGGAAGGCCCAGACAGCCAGGAUGUUGGCUUAGAAGCAGCCAUCAUUUAAAGAAAGCGUAAUAGCUCACUGGUCGAGUCGGCCUGCGCGGAAGAUGUAACGGGGCUAAACCAUGCACCGAAGCUGCGGCAGCGACACUAUGUGUUGUUGGGUAGGGGAGCGUUCUGUAAGCCUGUGAAGGUGUACUGUGAGGUAUGCUGGAGGUAUCAGAAGUGCGAAUGCUGACAUAAGUAACGAUAAAGCGGGUGAAAAGCCCGCUCGCCGGAAGACCAAGGGUUCCUGUCCAACGUUAAUCGGGGCAGGGUGAGUCGACCCCUAAGGCGAGGCCGAAAGGCGUAGUCGAUGGGAAACAGGUUAAUAUUCCUGUACUUGGUGUUACUGCGAAGGGGGGACGGAGAAGGCUAUGUUGGCCGGGCGACGGUUGUCCCGGUUUAAGCGUGUAGGCUGGUUUUCCAGGCAAAUCCGGAAAAUCAAGGCUGAGGCGUGAUGACGAGGCACUACGGUGCUGAAGCAACAAAUGCCCUGCUUCCAGGAAAAGCCUCUAAGCAUCAGGUAACAUCAAAUCGUACCCCAAACCGACACAGGUGGUCAGGUAGAGAAUACCAAGGCGCUUGAGAGAACUCGGGUGAAGGAACUAGGCAAAAUGGUGCCGUAACUUCGGGAGAAGGCACGCUGAUAUGUAGGUGAAGUCCCUUGCGGAUGGAGCUGAAAUCAGUCGAAGAUACCAGCUGGCUGCAACUGUUUAUUAAAAACACAGCACUGUGCAAACACGAAAGUGGACGUAUACGGUGUGACGCCUGCCCGGUGCCGGAAGGUUAAUUGAUGGGGUUAGCGGUAACGCGAAGCUCUUGAUCGAAGCCCCGGUAAACGGCGGCCGUAACUAUAACGGUCCUAAGGUAGCGAAAUUCCUUGUCGGGUAAGUUCCGACCUGCACGAAUGGCGUAAUGAUGGCCAGGCUGUCUCCACCCGAGACUCAGUGAAAUUGAACUCGCUGUGAAGAUGCAGUGUACCCGCGGCAAGACGGAAAGACCCCGUGAACCUUUACUAUAGCUUGACACUGAACAUUGAGCCUUGAUGUGUAGGAUAGGUGGGAGGCUUUGAAGUGUGGACGCCAGUCUGCAUGGAGCCGGCCUUGAAAUACCACCCUUUAAUGUUU